ensembl:lncRNA
ACUACUAAGUACAUACAGAAAAUACUAGCGUACAAUUUAACUUCCCUUAACAGUAGUUUGUUUUGCUGAAGAUUUAUUUUUCUACAUAUUAAUUUAGAUUGUAUUCUGCAUUUUUAUUCAAAAUACAUAGUAAAGAUGAACCAAAGGCAGGAUCCACUUCCUUGAAUAGACUCCUUUCCCAAAUCCUAAUUACUGACCCUGGUUAUUUUCAAACCUAAAGAAUUAAAAAAAAAGGGUGGGGUGGGCUGGCCCUAUGGCUGAGUGGAUAAGUUUGCGCACUGUGCUUCAGCAGCCUGGGGUCCCCGGUUCAGAUCCUGGGCGUGGACAUGGUGGCACUGCUCAUCAAGCCAUGCUGAGGCAGCGUCCCACAUAGCAGAACUAGAAGGACCCACAACUAAAGCAUACAGCUACGUACUGGGGGGCUUUGGGGAGAAGUAGAAGAAGGGGGAAAAAAAGGGAUUGGCAACAGAUAUUAGCCAGAGGCCAAUCUUUAAAAAAAACAAAACAGCUAAUGUAUGUGACAGGCUAUGCAGUAGAGGGCGACCAGUAUUCAAAAGGGCUACUUAAGUUGCACCACAGGAGUCACCACUGCUGGAUGAGACUGGCUGGCAGAAGGCACUGAGUGUCUCAGUGGAGGCUGAUGAGCAGCCCGCAGGUCUGACUCUCAUGGAGGCUGAUGAGCAGCAUCCCGCAGGUCUGACUGCGGACAGGAGGCUGUCGGGUGCCAUCCCCCUCACUCCAGGUGGGCACCUGCUGCACUUGGGCAGCUGCCCCGAGCCUGUGGAGACGACAUGGCUCUGCAGCAAGCUGGCUGGGGAGCGGCAGGGCGCUCUGCCUUCCCUUUAGAACCCAGGCCACAGGCAGGAUGGACUGUCCCAAGGUCAGUGAGCAGCCUGAGGCCGGGGCCCACCUGUCCUGUGCUGGGCUCGGCACAGAAGGGAGACGUGCAGAGCUCUAUGCCUGAACACAGAUGGACAGGAGCAGGUGGAGGCGAGCCGGGGCUGGAGGCAGGGCCCCAUUUGCUCGAGCCACACUCAGCACCGCCGCGCUGAGCCCAGCAAGGGGUCCCAGGCACAGCACGGUGCACCCGUCAGGCUAGUGUCUGUCGGCGGGGAAGGAAGCUGCAGUGGAGUUUUAAUGGUUUUUAGUACUUCCUAGGCAGCUAAAGCUGAAGGAUUCACAAAAUCUGUUACCCUGCAGCCUUCUGUUAGCCUCCAAAGCAGACAGGGUGCUGGGUGCUAACAGUCAUGUCAGGCAGCACUGCUCUGUGACAAGUGCCCUGACUGGUGAGUGGCAUCUGGACUGGGAAAUGCCAGGUACUUGACAGGAAACUGUAGCUUUGGACUUCCCAGACAUGGGAACUAACUGCAGGCCCCUUGUGAGGUCCCUGAGCUUUGAUGUGGGGAGAUGGUAGUUCCCGGAGCCCUGUGGGUGCUCGGCUACACAGACUGCUGCUCUAGGGUCAUCUCCUGCAUGGAAGGAGGCCUGCUGGCCUGCUGUGGUUCCUGUCCAUAACCUUGAGUAAGCCGGAGCCACAUGCAGCCGGUUGUAGGCUUUCUGAGCCUGAAUAUUGGGCUGAGCCUGAGAAGAACCCCUGCGGGACACUGCAGAAGUCAGACAGAAGACUGCUCUUGUUGACGUAUGCAAAUGAGCUCAACUGGGGGUUAGGCCUGCCUCUCAAGGGAAGGGCCCAGACAUCACAGGAGCCUUCUACCUUUAGGAGGCUCCUUUCCUGCCUGACUCUCUUCAGCGUCAAGGCAGAACACCCAGGUCACUGCUCCUAGUGCCAGGGGUCAGAGCAGACAAGCCUUCAGUUAACUCCACACAGCCCUUGCCACUGUAAGCAACCCCUCCUCCUAUCCUUUCUUCCCAGCAAUGCCCAGGCGCACAGUCCAGGAUGGGCUGCACAGCAAGCACCACAUGAAAGCACUGCGUACCCCUGAAAUAAUGUAGUGCCAACAACAAAAACAAGUCCAAAAGCAGCAUCUCCUAAAUUCCAAAUUUCCUCCCCCCAUCUCAACCAAGGAAGAUGCAAUCAGAGCAUAACAGCAUUUAAAAAUAUUUAGUAAUACUCAUGGGAAAUCCUUUGCAUGUUCUCUUUAAUCCUCACAACUAAAUGAGGUUGGUGGUCUUUUGCUGCUGCUUUGUUGUAAUGCUUGUUUCACAGAGAAGGAAACUGCAUCUGAGUGACAUCAUUUGUACAAAGUCAACAGCUAGUCCACAGUCUGAUUAAACCUGCAGUUGGGAAAUUUUGCCAACAAGAAGUUAAUUGAGAGCUUUCAAGUUCUUACAGUAUAACAGCCACUUUCCAAAUUCAUAUUUCUUCCCACAUCCUCAAAAGAAGGAAGGAAGCCUAUGCACGAGGAGAAGAGAUUAUAAUCACCCACAGCUCCUGGCUGCCAUGAAAGCCCAUAACACCACUGCAGACCCUAAGGAGGGAGCGUGUCUAGGCGGGUCUGUGGGAGUAGACACCAGCAACCCCAAGGCCCCUGGUGUUUGUUCCCACAGCUGACAGGAGACCCCCACAGGGCCACUGUGAUCCCGAGGAGGGGCCCAGGCUCGGUCAGGAACAGCUGACAGGGAUCCUGGUCAGCACAGAUUACAAGGCUGCUGCCCCCUCUCCCCAGUGGCAGCAAGUGGAAGCAGUAACCAAACUCACUCUCUCUGCAGAGGCACAAAUCCACACCAUUAAGCAAUAUGAAAAAAUUUACGAACUCUCCAGAACAAAAGGAAAGUGACAAGUGCCCAGAAAACAAUCCAGAAGACACAGAAAUCUAUAACCUAAAUGACGAAGAAUUCAAAACAGCUAUCAUUAAGAAACUCAUG